CCUGCCAGUAGUCAUAUGCUUGUCUCAAGGACUAAGCCAUGCAUGCCUAAGUAUAAGCGACUUAUACACAGUGAAACUGCGAAUGGCUCAUUAAAUCAGUUAUAAUUUAUUUGAUAGUGCCAGCGCCACAUGGAUAACCGUGGCAAUUCUAGAGCUAAUACAUGCCAAGGCCCCCCCUCGGGGGGGAGGUAUUUAUUAGAUACAGAGCCGACAUGAGGGCCCUUUCAGGGCCCUUAGGUUGGUGAUUCAUGAUAACUGGCGGAUCGUAUGGCCUUGUGCUGACGAUGCAUCAUUUAAAUUUCUGCCCUAUCAACUUUCGAUGGUAGGGUAGUGGCCUACCAUGGUUGUUACGGGUAACGGGGAAUUAGGGUUCGAUUCCGGAGAGGGAGCCUAAGAAACGGCUACCACAUCCAAGGAAGGCAGCAGGCGCGCAAAUUACCCAAUCCCCAGAUGGGGAGGUAGUGACAAUAAAUAUCAAUACAGGACCUUCGGGUCAUGUAAUUGGAAUGAGUACAAUUCAAACCCCUUAACGAGGAACCAUUGGAGGGCAAGCCUGGUGCCAGCAGCUGCGGUAAUUCCAGCUCCAAUAGCGUAUAUUAAAGUUGUUGCAGUUAAAACGCUCGUAGUCGGAUCUUAAGUAUGCUAGGCCUGGUCUGGUCCUUAGUGGCCAGCACUAGGCCACAGCAUCCUUAGUACUUUGCUGGCUGGGUGCCCCCUUCCCUCCGCUCCCUCUCUCUCCCACCCUUGGGUGUGGUGUUGGGGGGGGGUGGGGGGGUGGGGGCCCUGGUUGGUAGAUUACUUUGAAAAAAUUAGAGUGUUCAAGGCAGGCGCACUUGUGCCUGAAUAGGUUAGCAUGGAAUAAUGAAUAGGACAUGGAGUCCUGUUUUGUUGGUUUUUAGGGCCCACGUCAUGAUCAAAAGGGACAGUUGGGGGCAUUAGUAUUUCCAAGUUAGAGGUGAAAUUCUUGGAUCUUGGGAAGACUAACUACUGCGAAAGCAUUUGCCAAGGAUGUUUUCAUUGACCAUGGACGAAAGUUAGGGGAUCGAAGGCGAUUAGAUACCGUCGUAGUCUUAACUAUAAACGAUGCCGACUAGAGAUCGGCAGGGCACCUUCAUGACCCCACCGGAAGCUUUUGGGAAACCAAGAGUUUUUGGGUUCUGGGGGGAGUAUGGUUGCAAGACUGAAACUUAAAGGAAUUGACGGAAGGGCACCACCAGGAGUGGAGCCUGCGGCUU
rnacentral:rRNA from 1 species